rnacentral:rRNA from 1 species
UACAGAGGGUGCGAGCGUUAAUCGGAAUUACUGGGUGUAAAGGGCGCGUAGGUGGCUUGGCAAGUUGGGUGUGAAAUCCCAGGGCUUAACCCUGGAGCUGCGCUCAAAACUGCCUCGCUAGAGUGGAGUAGAGGGAAUUGGAACUUCCGGUGUAGCGGUGAAAUGCGUAGAUAUCGGAAGGAACACCAGUGGCGAAGGCGGGUUCCUGGACUCAUACUGACACUGAGGCGCGAAAGCGUGGGGAGCAAACAGG